GGGAAUGAGAGGUAUUUGAUAUUAACAAAAUCAAUGUACUGCGCCAUAUGACCAGGCUAAUAAACAAAUCACUGGUUUAUAUUACUUGAAGAGAACAGUUGACAAAAUUUAACAUAAACACUCUUCGGAAGGGAAACCACACAUGCUCACCACACACGCGCACACACACAUACACACACACACACACCACUUGCAGUUUCUGUGGGGCCCCAGAGAGAGUUUAUCUUUCAUUCCACUGUGCCCCAACCAUGCUGAACAGAAGCAGCUGGCGGUCUGAAUCCCUGCAGAAAUGGUGUCAGAAGGACUGAGCCCCACCCGACAUCAAUGAGAAUGCAUAAGUGCUACAGGCUGGAACUAGGAAACACCCCACUUCCCCCACAUAACUCCUUUGAAAGAGAACCAGAUGCUUCAGCACCUUGGAGAGCUCCACAAGACCCACAGACCCGGGCCCCCCAACCACAAGAAAUAUAAUAAAAUACUGCUUUGAGACUCAAUUUCAGCACUUAGCUACAUAAAUAAAAGUUCCAGGAAGACUAAAUCUUAGAACCAACAGGGAGAUGAGCACUUCCAGAGUUUCAUCAGCUUCCAAAUGAUAUUUAAAUAUGAGAACGUGAGGCCUGGCUGGGCCUGUGGUGAAAUCUCCAUAACAGCAUCCUUGUAAUAAAUGCUGAAAUUCAUGCAACCAUGGCCUGCCCCCUUCACGGAUCGCAAUUCAUAAUUGUUGCUGAUUGUCACAAACCAUAGGGCUCUGAACCAAAAUCCAAUGGAGCCCGUGCAUGUGUGUGCAUGAGUGUGUGCACCUGUGUGUGUGCAUGUAUGAAGGUGUGCACUCGUGUGUGUGUGUAUGCGUGUAUGUGUGCAUACAGGUGUGUUAGCAUAUGUGUUUGCGACUAAUUUUUAGACAUGUGUCUCGGCUCUUUCUCCAGCUGGGAAUUUCAAAUGACUUGUGAGAAAAUCUGUAAGGUUAAACAUGUGGAUUUUGGAAGAUGAGAACAAAGAACGAAUACUGAUACAUUUUGGCUUAUUAUUUUGACAGUUUUGAAUUCCCACAGUAGUCUUACAACCAAAUCUUGUGAAAGUGUUUAUUCCGUUCCGUUGACCAGAAUGAGUAACAAACCUGAGAAAUGCUUUUGUGUCGUACAUUGUGUAGUGCAUUGUUAAGGCCCUCAGGUUAGCAAAAGCUGUCCUCAGCUGUGGAGCUGACUGCAGUGUGUCACUGACAUUAGCAACUGGACUUCAUUUGAUGAGCAGGCUGAACCUCUGGACAUUAAAAAGAGUAUUCACGGCCGGGCGCGGUGGCUCAAACCUGUAAUCCCAGCAUUUUGGGAGGCCGAGG
rnacentral:lncRNA from 10 species